rnacentral:rRNA from 1 species
UACGAAGGGGGCUAGCGUUGCUCGGAAUUACUGGGCGUAAAGCGCGCGCAGGCGGUCUUCCAAGUCAGUGGUGAAAGCCCGGAGCUCAACUCCGGAACUGCCAUUGAAACUGUGAGACUUGAGUAUGAGAGAGGUGAGUGGAAUUCCCAGUGUAGAGGUGAAAUUCGUAGAUAUUGGGAAGAACACCGGUGGCGAAGGCGGCUCACUGGCUCAUUACUGACGCUCAGGCGCGACAGCGUGGGGAUCAAACAGG